rnacentral:RNase_P_RNA from 1 species
GUAAUGAGUUGCUCCACCGCGGCGCCAGACGUAAGAAUGGCGACGAGGAAAGUCCGGGCAACACAGAGCACCCUGCUUCCUAACGGGAAGGACUGGGAAGCGUAAAGCAACCCAGGACAGCCAGUGCCACAGAAAACUACCGCCGUUUUGGUAGGGUGUGGGGGUAAGAGGGUGGGAGUGCAAGAGGGUUUUCCCUCCUACCCUCUUACCCCCACACCCUCCUACCCUAACAAAAAGGUAAGGGUGAAAAGGUGCGGUAAGAGCGCACCAGCGGCCGGGUGACCGUGUCGGCUGGGUAAACCUCAGGGGUUGAAAGACCAAAUAAGCGGACACGCCCCGGCCCUCGGGCCGAGGCACCGGGCGGCUCGUCCGGCGUCCGUGGGUAGGUUGAUGGAGCCUUUCCGCGAGGACUGGCCUAGAUAAAUGGUGGAGGCGCGGCAACGCGUACAAAACCCGGCUUACAGACUCAUUACCCAC